rfam:Brachypodium distachyon strain Bd21 chromosome 3, whole genome shotgun sequence.
AUCAUACUCCCUCCGUCCAACAAAAGAUGUCUCAAGUUUUUCAAAAUUUGGAUGUAUCUAUAUAUGACUUAGUGCAUAGAUGCAUUCAAAUUUGGUCAAAGUUGAGACAUGCAUCUUUUGUUGGAAAGAGGGAGUAUCAU